AUUGAACGCUGGCGGCAUGCCUUACACAUGCAAGUCGAACGGCAGCACGGGGCAACCUGGUGGCGAGUGGCGAACGGGUGAGUAAUACAUCGGAACGUGCCCAGUCGUGGGGGGAUAACGUAGCGAAAGUUACGCUAAUACCGCAUACGAUCUAUGGAUGAAAGCGGGGGAUCGCAAGACCUCGCGCGAUUGGAGCGGCCGAUGUCAGAUUAGGUAGUUGGUGGGGUAAAGGCCUACCAAGCCGACGAUCUGUAGCUGGUCUGAGAGGACGACCAGCCACACUGGGACUGAGACACGGCCCAGACUCCUACGGGAGGCAGCAGUGGGGAAUUUUGGACAAUGGGCGCAAGCCUGAUCCAGCCAUUCCGCGUGCAGGAUGAAGGCCUUCGGGUGUAAACUGCUUUUGUUACGGAACGAAAAGGGACUCUGGUUAAUACCCGGGGCUCAUGACGGUACCGUAAGAAUAAGCACCGGCUAACUACGUAGCCAGCAGCCGCGGUAA
rnacentral:rRNA from 1 species